UUUUUUUUUUUGGUUGUUGUUGUUGUUGUUGCUAUUUCUUGGGCCGCUCCCGUGGCAUAUGGAGUGGCUCUAGAAAAGACAAAAAAAAAACAAAAAAACAAACCCUCUUUCUUUAUUUGGUUGUUCACAUGAAUUUAAGAAGAUAAUACAGGUAAAACUUUUAGUAUAAAACCAAUACAUUUAUAGAACAAUACUUUCAAGAACAACUAAGCAGAAAAGAAACAGGGAAAUAAAUGGCAUGGCAUUACAUACAUCAACAGAAAUUUGAUUCCCCACCCUGGAGAACAGAAACGAUUGCAAAUAACAGUACAGCAAAGACAGGUUUGAGCUCUUUGGUUCAGUCAUUCUAGGCUCCUGAGUCAUGGCAGAUGCACAGCCUACAUGAGGCUGAGCCACACGUGAAAGCUGUUUCCACCCACAGACUGGUGGAGCCCACUGAUACACUUAAUGACAAGGAUGAUAAAAAUACCUGCCAUGGGCCAGGCACAUGCUAAGCAGUCCAUGUAGGUUAUUUUUAUUUAAUUCAAACUGCAAAUCUGUGAGGCAGGUAUUCCUGUUCCCAUUUUACAGAGGUAGAAACUGAGAGGUGAAGAAGUUAAAUAAUUUCCCAAGAACAUCCCCACUCACUUGUGUACAUACGCAAAGAAGCAGAGCUGGGAUUCAAACCCUGGCCUGACGGCAGACCGAAGCAAAACUGUAGGAGCUGUCCAUGUUCCGGAAAAACCUGAUAGGGUAAUCUUUAAAUCUACGUCGCUAGGGGCAAGGGCCACUACUGUGUAUCUUCCAGGGGAGCGGUCCUCAGGCAACAGGAUGAAUAGGGCAGCUGGAAAGGGCAUCUGCAACCCCUCCCCCACAGGGCAAAAAUUGGGCUUCCUUUUUCCAAGGGGUCUUAGGGAGACCCCUCCCAUAUCCAGUUUGCAGGCCUGAGCUACAGACUCCUGCGGCAGAGUGAGGGCUCAGCUCUGCUCAGGGACAGAGAGUUCUAGAGUACCCACUUGCCACCUGGGUGGUUGCCCCACUGCCCUCCCCACUCCAAGGGCAGUCUCUGGGGUCCCGGGAGGGGGCAGGGUGUGAAGAGGGAUCUGGCCAGCAGCAGUCAAGGGGUGGGCCUGCAGAAGAGGAGCGCUGGAGGCAUACCACGCCCAGCCCUACUCUGCCUCUCAGAACACAAGGAAGGAAGUUCCCUGCUUCUGCUACCACAAGUGUCCCUCCCUGAGGACUCUUAAGGCCCUGGACUGAGGGUCCUGUGUGCUGAGGAAGCCCUAAUCUCCAAGCCUCUGCCAUUGCCAGGACCAGCUGCCAAAGGAUUAGACUCAGAACUGUUUCUGUAUAUUUAACUUUUUUUCCUGGAGACCAACAAGAAUCCUGGGGAGAGAACACUGGCCUGGGAUUCCAUGAGCCAUGGUUCCUAUUUCUGGCUUUGCCUCUAACUCUCCACAUGACCUCAAGUAAGUCACUUGACCUCCCUGGUCUAGACUGUCCUUCCUGUUAAAUGGGAAUAAUUACAUAAUCAUCAUCAUAGCUGACAGUCCCUGAAGUCUUACUCUGAGCCAGCCCUACGCUAGAUGCAUCAUCGCAUUCAUCCUCAGAGUAUCAUUUGAGGAAGGGAGGUACUAUUUUCAUCCAAUUUUCAGAAAAGUGUGGAGGAACAGGGAAGUUAGGGGACAUGCCCACAGUCACAUGGUUAGUAAAGGUGGAUCUGGCUCUCUCGGUGGCUCUCAGAGCUUUUUCUAAGCUCUUCACCACUGUGACAUAUAGAGUUACUCUAUAAAGUAUUAGGGACACUUGCAAAAAUGUUCUGAAAGCAGAAAAGGGAGGGAGGGGCCAAAAAUACAAAUACAGAUCACAACCCCCUGGACAUGAGUGAAGAUAGAAUCCUAAUCCCCUGAAGCACAUUCUGUGGAGUCUGUCCACGGAAUCGGAGCCCUCCAGGACGGGGAAGACCCCAGGAAGUCACUUUUCUCUUUCUCCUUCUCUUUGGGCAAGAAUGCCAUGACUAGACAAAUUCUACAGGUUGAGACCAGAAAGGUCAAGCAAGGGUGACCAGGUUAGGGCCUCAGCUGUCAGGUGAGGAGGGAGACAGAACCAGGCCUCCCCCUUCCUAGAGGAGAGGAGAGUGAUGGUAAAAGGCUCAUUUGUGUCAAGGUGGAGGCGCUCCAACCAAAAUUUAAACAUUUUAAUGUAAUACUCCAGUAUAUCUUUUCUAAUCUUAAAAACAAAUUUUAGGUGGAAUUCCCGUCGUGGCUCAGUGGUUAACGAAGCCGACUAGGAACCAUGAGGUUUAGGGUUUGAUCCCUGGCCUCGCUCAGUGGGUUAAGGAUCUGGCGUUGCCACGAGCUGUGGUGCAGGUCGCAGACACGGCUCAGAUCCCUAGCUGCUGUGGCUGUGGUGUAGGCCAGCAACUACAGCUCCGAUUGGACCCCUAGUCUGGGAACCUCCAUAUGCCACGGGUGUGGCCCUAAAGAGGCAAAACAAAAACAAACACAAAAUUUUAUUUCACUAAAAAAAACUGGUUAAUAUUGAGUUCUAAAUGUAGUUGGUCCUCUCCCGGCAAAGCUCUUUAUCAGGGUUCAUAGCUGCGGACGACAGAAUUAAUGGUGGUUAAUACUUCCAGGAAGGGGACUCUACAGAAGGACAGCGAGUAGAUAAAAAGGCUCUCAGGGAGGCCUGCAGAUUUAGAGGCCAACCAGCCAGGAACAACGUCUCAGCCACACCUUAGAGCUGGGCUGAGAACCCCAUCCCAGCUCCUCCUCCCUCUGCUGGCUCUGCUCCUCCCACUCUCCUCCAGGCUCCCUGGUGCACCCCGCCUCCUCCAGCUUUGCAAACAAUCCCAACUCAGGGCUAUGAACUCGCUGUUCCUUCUGCCUGGAACACAGACAUUCACACUGCUUGCCCCCUGGCUUCACCCAGAUUUCUGCUCACAUACCCGCGCCCUCCUCAGAGAAGUCUUCCUGGGCUGCCUUGUCACGCUAUCCCCUCUCUCUGCCUCACUCUUCUCACAGCACCUCCCGCGUUUCAGACACUGAAUUAAGCAUUGCCUGUAUCUCAGAUCAAACUGCAAGCUCCAUGAGGGCAGGCUGUUUUGUUGGUUGCCGUAAGCCCCCAGACUGCUAUGUUUCCGGUGCUUAACUAUUUGCUGAAUACUUUAUGAAGGAAUAAACAAAAGAAUAACUGGAAAACUUCAAGUAGAUGGGGCUUUUGAUGUGUUUGUGGGAGGUGAGCACCGCGUCUCACUCCUCCCACAAACCUGAUCCUUCUCUUGGAAAACUUCAACAUGAACCAAUGUGUCAUGUUCUCCAGCCUGUGCUGGAAGUUUAGGGUAGCAGCAAGAGUCAACUUGUACUGUGGCUGCAGCUGUGCUGUCAUGCUGCCCAGAUCUCGAUCAGCUCUACGGAUCCCACUUUGGAGGGAAGACUUGCCCGGGGACCUGUAGCUCCAAAACUCCCCUGACAGUCUCUGCAGCUCUUGGAACUUGUCUGGACUGUUGCUAUGCAGACCAUGAAGGCCUGGCUGGGUUCCUGCCCCUGCUUUCCAGGCCUUGGACAGGCUGGGGAGUGACCUNNNNNNNNNNNNNNNCGGUUCAGCCCAGGGAGUGACACUAACAAACAAAUGCAGUCAUGUAUAGAUUCAGAGGGUCAUACAAGGUCAGAGUGGGGUGAAGCCUUGGUAAUCUGGAGACAGCCUGUCCUCUGCAGAUAACGCGAGCCAGUGCAGGUAUAAGAGUGUGUGUGGACUCUGGGGUCUGGCAGAUCCAACCUCCACCAGCCAUGUGACUUUGGAGACUCAUUCAAAAAGACAAUAUUUGAAAAGCACUGCUUUUCUCAGGUGUAAAAUGGAAAUAAAAGUCCCUACUUUAUACAGUAAGCUUGUCCUCCUGUUCAAAAGUCUUUACUUCCUAUUCUUUAUGAUAUUAAAGUCAAACUCUUUGGCUCAACAGUCAAAUUGCACUACUACCAAAAUCCAGCCAACCCAGCAUAUCGGGCAUAGUCCCUCCAACUCCUCCUGAAGCUACUGCUCCCUCUCAAAUCCUUGCGCCUGGAGCCACCACCCAAUGCCUUCUCUCCUACCUGAGUCUACCAAACCCCACGGGUAGGCCUCAUGAAGUCUUCCCUGACCUGGGCUUUUCUGGGCCCUCACUGGUGUAAGUACUGAAUGUUAACAGAUAGCAACAAAGUUUUGACUCUCCAACCAGAAGGUGGGAUCUGUGAGGGCAACCAUCUCUUUUAUAAUGUUUCCCUCAACCAAGUAUUAAAUAAUACAUAAAAAUUCUUGACUGACUCACCUGCAGUUAGGAUUCAGUUAAAAUGAUCCCAAAUAUUACCUCUGUUACCCAAGAAAGGAAAAUAGAUAUAGAAAUAAAUUAAAUUGGGAGUUCCCAUCGUGGCGCAGUGGUUAACGAAUCUGACUAGGAACCAUGAGGUUGCGGGUUCGAU
rnacentral:lncRNA from 1 species